rnacentral:rRNA from 1 species
AACGAACGCUGGCGGCAUGCCUAACACAUGCAAGUCGAACGAUACCUUCGGGUCUAGUGGCGCACGGGUGCGUAACGCGUGGGAAUCUGCCCUUGGGUUCGGAAUAACAUUUGGAAACGACUGCUAAUACCGGAUGAUGACGUAAGUCCAAAGAUUUAUCGCCCAAGGAUGAGCCCGCUUAGGAUUAGCUAGUUGGUGAGGUAAAGGCUCACCAAGGCGACGAUCCUUAGCUGGUCUGAGAGGAUGAUCAGCCACACUGGGACUGAGACACGGCCCAGACUCGUAGGGGAGGAAGAAGGGGGGAAUAUGGGACAACGGGUGAAAGACGGAGCAAGUAAGGCCGCGUAAGUGAGGAAGGAGUUAGGGUUGUAAAGCUGUUUUGAAAGGGAUGAAAAUGACAGUACCGGGAGAAUAAGCGACGGCUAACUCCGUG